CAGAGAAAUUUUGUGUUACUAGCAAGUGGCAGCAUGAGCCCAGGAAGGAGCUGGAGAGAGAGGCAAGCUUGAGUGACAGCCCAAAGCCUGUCCCCUGUACCAGGACCCAGUGUGCAAUACCUUGCUCUUCUAGGAUUCCGUUAGGCAUCUUCUUGUCGUUGCUGUUGACCACAGCCUUCCUCUGCUUCCUGAACCUUAGAGGCACAAGAUGUGUUAGGUCUCAGCACAGUGGGAACCCCCAAGCCCUGAGUGUGGUGAUACCCACCAGGAGCUGGUUAGAGCACGUCAGUGCCUGGGGACACUCCUACCUGAAGAAGUAGGCUGCAAGGAGGAACAGGAGGAGGAGCAGAGGCAGCAGCAGCCAGAGUGGUGAACUCCUUGUGACAGAGACUGCUGGCUUCCUGAAACCAACUUGCUCGUCCAUUCUUCACACCUCCCAGGCUCACCUUCCUCAGAGAGACACGUAUUCCUGCCCUUGCACCUUGGCUUUGGUGACCUUGUGGUCAUCAGCAGAUGGAUUCUCUUAACCUAUUAGGGUGCUCUCUUAUCUCCACAAAGUUCUUAUCUCCAUCAAAACCCUGCUACUCCCAUUAACCAUCGUGGCUCCUGUCGUGAACUGGUCCAGAGGAGCUAUGUUCUGCAGUCGGUGAGCACAUGCUAUCAGGAGUGAGCAGGUCCCCCAUGGGAGGCCCUGGAGGUCAGUAGCUAGACUUCUAUCCUUCUGAGUCUCAGAAGUGCCAAGCAUUUUUCCUUAGCUGAGUGUGUGUGGCGGGAUUCAUGUCCUUCCUCCCAUGUGCCACCCUAGUCCAUCGAAACUCAGGGCUCCAGGAAGGAGCUUGAAAUGUCAUGGUUUGCCCAUCCCUGUGUAUGUAAUCUAGAGGCUAUGACCCACAGUCUGUCAUCUGUGGCCCUGGCACAGAGGAGCUGAUUCCCAUCAUGUACAAGGUCAGGUAUAUAUAUAUUAGACAGCUAGGAUUAUCUAUCCCUCCAUCAAGGGGAUACUCUAAACCUGCCCACUGCCCAGCUGGAGCCAUUUAGGAGCAGCCUGGCCCAAGACUUCCAUGUCUGGGGCUCCAGGGAAUGGUAUACCCUAGACUAGGACCUGAAUAAAAUUUAUCCUGGGCUGCUGAGAGCUGCCUGGCCCUGAAGGGCAGAGUUAAGCCAAUCCCAGAGAGUCCCACUGCUCAGGGUACCCUGAUUCAACUCCAUCCAUUUUUAGUCAAAGGCCACUAGAACGAGUGGGCAGUCUCCUCCUUCUUUUCAGGAAAUGCUCACUGUCUUUUCUCGGUGUGUCACCAUGGUGAAA